CCCUACCAAAACAAGCAGCCUCGUUUAGACCUAAAAGCAGGAGGGCCUGCCGCCACUGAAUACAGUCUAGGCCAGGCAUGGUUAAGGGUCAAAGCUCUGGGAACACUUAUCUUUCCCCAUACGUGGACUACACAACUUUUAGACUCCACACAGCUCAAUAGACUAGCCCCAUUGUUCCGUCCCAGGCAGCCUGACAAGCUCUUCCACAUAAUGAGUGGCACCAGCUUUGGAACCUGUGGCUCAGGGAAGUAUGCAGUCUUGCCAAGCACACAUCAUGCCACGAGUUCCUCAGGACGGCCUUAUGGAGAUACAGUAGAUAGGUCACUGGGUCUUCCACUUCCACUCCCUAUUAAAGAAUAGGAGUAGGCUGCACACGUGUGCUUCCAGACACUGCAUUGAUAUGAUCUAUCAACAUUUGGCAACUGCAGCCUCCAGAGUACUCAAGUGUUAAGUAUAAAAUUAAAAGCACACUAGAAUCUGCC